rnacentral:rRNA from 1 species
CGAAAGCCUGACGGAGCAAUACCGCGUGAGGGAAGACGGCCUAUGGGUUGUAAACCUCUUUUCUCAGGGAGGAACUCAAUGACGUGUACCUGAGGAAUAAGCAUCGGCUAACUCUGUGCCAGCAGCCGCGGUAAUACAGAGGAUGCAAGCGUUAUCCGGAAUCACUGGGCAUAAAGCGUCUGUAGGUGGUUUGAUAAGUCUGCUGUUAAAGACUAGGGCUUAACCCUAGGAAAGCAGUGGAAACUAUUAGACUUGAGUAUGGUAGAGGUAGAGGGAAUUCCUAGUGUAGCGGUGAAAUGCGUAGAUAUUAGGAAGAACACCAAUGGCGAAAGCACUCUGCUGGGCCACAACUGACACUGAGAGACGACAGCUAGGGGAGCA